UAGCUUUCGAAAGAAAAAAAUGAAACGUGGAUUAGUGGUAGUGCUUUCUCUGUCGAUAACUGGAUUGCUUUUGACAGGCAUGUCCUUACUAGUUGUUUCAUUAUGUGUAUGGUACAAAGACAACCAUGAUGGAGAUAACAUUGCUGUUUCUGCUAUAUUUAUAUCACUUGGGAUUUUCCAAGCAUUUUUUCUGUGGUUCUUUAUUCGACACAAGAAAGGUGCUUCAAAAACACAACUACGAGUACGACGAAAAGAAAUAUCUUGGAAGUAGUGACAAUAGAAAGUGUCGUACACCAAGAUGAGAAUUGUACAACGUUAGACAAAAAACGGAAGAU
rnacentral:lncRNA from 1 species